ACCUCAGAAAGCCAAUCUCAGUUCGGAUUGUAGGCUGCAACUCGCCUACAUGAAGUUGGAAUCGCUAGUAAUCGCGAAUCAGAAUGUCGCGGUGAAUACGUUCCCGGGUCUUGUACACACCGCCCGUCACACCACGAGAGUUUACAACACCCGAAGUCAGUGGCCUAACCGCAAGGAGGGAGCUGCCUAAGGUGGGGUAGAUGAUUGGGGUGAAGUCGUAACAAGGUAGC
rnacentral:rRNA from 1 species